rnacentral:rRNA from 1 species
CCUACGGGAGGCAGCAGUGGGGAAUCUUGCGCAAUGGGCGAAAGCCUGACGCAGCAACGCCGCGUGGGGGAUGAAGGCUCUCGGGUUGUAAACCCCUUUCAGCAGGGACGAAUCAAGACGGUACCUGCAGAAGAAGCCCCGGCUAACUACGUGCCAGCAGCCGCGGUAACACGUAGGGGGCAAGCGUUGUCCGGAUUUAUUGGGCGUAAAGAGCUCGUAGGUGGCUGAGUAAGUCGGAUGUUAAAUCCCCAGGCUCAACCUGGGACACCACCCGAUACUGCUCUGGCUAGAGUCCGGUAGGGGAGCGUGGAAUUCCUGGUGUAGCGGUGAAAUGCGCAGAUAUCAGGAGGAACACCAGCGGCGAAGGCGGCGCUCUGGGCCGGUACUGACACUGAGGAGCGAAGGCGUGGGUAGCAAACAGGAUUAGAUACCCUGGUAGUCCACGCCGUAAACGUUGGGCACUAGGUGUGGGGUCUAUUCAACGGACUCCGUGCCGUAGCUAACGCAUUAAGUNCCCGCCUGGGGAGUACGCGCAGANAACUAAUANAUAGAGNNGNGAGNGCGAGCGACGAGAGGAGAG